UACACUUGUAAGGUAAUCAAA
rnacentral:piRNA from 1 species